CAGUAACGAAAUUCUGCACACAUUUAGCCACAAUGACAGCAGAGGAAGUAGAAGAUGCAGCAAUGGCACGUGCCCCAUAGGUCCCCAGACGAUUUAUAGAUGAAGGUUCGUCCAUUUUAUAUGUAACUGCAGAACAUUUAAUACUAGGGACAUGGGCAAUAAGCUUUUGACACUCAGUUUCAAAUUCGGAUGAUGAGAAAAUAGUAUCCCUCACAUAAGCCUUCUUGUCAAGUUUCUCAUUUGCUUUGAUUAUCCACGAAAGUUUCGUACAUUUCUCCCUCGCGCUUGUCGUGCCAGAGGAGGAUCUCGUCUAGUUCCAGGCAACAGAGUUGUCUUUUUUUUCCUUUUCUUUGUACAGUUCCAACAGGAGCAUGAGAGAAGCAGAAAGAGAGGAAGACGGAGAAGAGUCGAUGGGUAAAGAUGGACUAGUGGCGCAUGACGGCGGAGAAGCGAUUGGAGAAGCAUAUAUAGGGGCGGUUGUCAGAGUUAUGGUGUUGGAGAAGAAGAUGGCGAUGAGGGCGAUGUCGUGGCUUCAAUUGACGUUGCAGAGAUAGUGAACAUGAACAGGAUGAUGAUGACACCAAAGCCAUGAGGUGUAAUUUUUAAAAUAAUUUCCAUUUCCCAUUUUAACAAAAGUAAUUAAAAUGAUUGAGUUAUGUAAUGUUGGUAUUUUAAUUGUAAACUUUUUAUUUUAACUUACUUAAAAUAAAAAAUUUGAUAAUUGAGUGA